rnacentral:rRNA from 1 species
CCACUAUGCCUAGCCGUAAACAUUGAUAGAAUUCUACACCCUCUAUCCGCCUGGGUACUACGAGCAUCAGCUUGAAACCCAAAGGACUUGGCGGUACUUUAGAUCCCCCUAGAGGAGCCUGUUCUAUAACCGAUGACCCCCGUUCAACCUCACCCUCCCUUGUUUUUCCCGCCUAUAUACCGCCGUCGUCAGCUUACCCUGUGAAGGUCUAAUAGUAAGCAAAAUUGGCACCGCCCAAAACGUCAGGUCGAGGUGUAGCGCAUGAGAGGGGAAGAAAUGGGCUACAUUCGCUACUAUUAGCGAAUACGAACGAUGCACUGAAAACGUUCAUCUGAAGGAGGAUUUAGCAGUAAGUGGAAAAUAGAGUGUUCCGCUGAAAUCGGCUCUGAAGUGCGUACACACCGCCCGUCACUCUCCCCAAGCUUAUCACUACACAUAUAUAAAACGCCCCAAUUGCGAAGGGGAGGCAA